ACACACGCACGCACAUAAAAAGCUUUUUAAGAGCGUCCAGCUUGCUCCAGACCCAAAGACGGGAGAGGAAGCCUGGGCUAGGAGGAGCUGAGGCAGCGGCAGUGGCCAGGAUGGGGACAGCCACUGGGAUGGAUGAGCGGGCACCACCUCCUCUUUGCAAAAUCCCCUUCAUGUGGAUGUGGGCACAGACAGAACAAUUGCAGAGGGAAAGGAUUUGGCAGCACUGUGACAUAGACUAAUUUCCAGAUCCUCCAGGGCUAGUAAUUAACAGAUUUGGCCUGGUGGAUCAAACUGGGAAGAAGAUGGAGAUGUUCUGCUAUGAAUCCCUCACAGGUUGUGGAGAAGGAGAUAGCCUGGAGCAGCUGGACACUGAGGAACUAAAGAUUUUUGUCAGCUUUUUGGGAAUCCCAUUUCAGCACUUGCUGAAUAAUCAUUUUCCUGUCCAUGGAAAGCUAAUCCAGAAAACAGCUUGCCAAGUGGUAAGAAGGCUCUGGUAUAAGAGAAACAUGGCUUUGAAACCAGGCAUAGUGAAAUUACUCACACCAGUUCAGCAGCACUGUAUCAAGGCAAACUCUUUCCAUCGAACCCACUCCCAUCUGCUGUAAACAUUAACUCAGUCCAAA